GUACAAAUGCAGCCUAGAGACAGCUUCAUUAAUUUUACGAUAAUACAUAAGCAAGUAUUUUAUUUACUAAUCUAUCAAGCAUAUACGGUAUGCAUAUAAUACCGUCACAACUUAUACCACGCGAACACCAUUACAGUUUACACAACCAGAACAAACACUGAAUAUCACAUGCACUGGCACGUGACUUCUUUAUUCUCGUACAAGAGCUAGCUAGCGAAGGUUCAUCGACGCGGUGGACCCUCUCAAUGGUGGCCUGGUAGCUUCUCCUUGAUCUUUUCCAUCAUCCCCUUCUUCUCAUGCUGGCCUUCAUCAGUCUGGCCGUGCUCCUCACUCUUGUGCCCGCCGCCCGGAAGCUUCUCCUUUAUCUUCUCCUUCAGUCCCUUCUUCCUCCGCCCGCCCUGCCCGUCAUCCUCCGACUGCAUGCCAAGAUAUACAAAUAACCCGUUCGAUCACGGAGGGGGAAGAAAAUAAAGAAUAUAGACGGUAAAAGAGGAACGAAGAUCCGGGUGCAUAAGACCGACAACAUCACUAUCCCAAAAUUUUGGAAUAUAUUGGAGCUCGGCAGACUGGGAUUGGGUUAAUAUUCACAGGGAAAAUUGCUACCGGAGGUACAAACGAGGCACAAGUUUGGUAUGCCACUAUUUGACCCAAUUUGUCCCAACGGUGUGGCACGAUUUAAAUCCACUAUUUAAUCCUACCUGGAAAACAGAACGGACUUUGAGAUUUGUUCCAUGCCCUAUCAUACAUAGUUUUUCCAAAUAUUGCCCAGUACAAGAUGGGCUAGCACAAAUCCCAAAGCCAGCCCCUGUUCAUCGCAAGGCGGUUGCCGUGUUUCUACUUUGCAGGGAACCUAAACGGAAUCCGUAAAACACAUCAACUUCCAUGAACCGCAUGGCCACGUAGUAUCAGCUUAAAUGAACGCUACCUGUAGACCACUGUUGUUAAAACGUUAGUUAAGCUUACCGAGCUGCUGGAGCUGGAGCUGCCGGAGCGGUGGUGGCGUCCACCGGGGUGCUCCUCCUUCCCUGGGUGCACCUGCUGCUGCCUGCCACCUUCUCCAUGCAGUACCCCUUCAUGCGGAGUGGUGGUGGUGCCGUAAGUCCCGCCGGUGACCGCACCACCGUGACCUUGGUGCUCCGGGAUCGGGUUGCCGUACUCGUCCGUCCGUCGGAUCGGAUCCGCCAUCUUUCUUUCUCUCUUAUAUAUCCGACCGCUCAAACUAACAACGUCACCUCUUUAUAUCUUUUUUGGAAGCCGAAGAUCUGGGC
rnacentral:lncRNA from 1 species